UUCCUUUAGAUUCUCCAAUUUUUUCCCACCAACGACAUUUACACAAAAUACGUUAACAUUUAAACAUCUUCAUUUUUUCUGAUUUUGUUUUUUAUGUUCAGUUCUCUAGAAACAUGGGGCUAUGUCAACAACCAUUAAAAUUCUUCGUUAUUCUUCUCGAAAGUUUCCAGUUUGAUAAGCAGAGAUUUCUUAGAUUUCUCAAAUAGAAAGGCCUAUUGGGGAAUUACAGAUUAUCCCAGUAUAUCAUCCUACUUUUCUCUUUUGAUAAACUGGAGAAUCGGUAAAAACUUGUUUUCUGUUAUUACUGAAAUCAAAAAGAAUGCAGAAAAUUUCUCCAUUUGUUCAUGUGUCAAAUGAAAUAGAGAUGAGCAACCAUCAAGAAUAACAAAUGAUGUUUUAAUCCGUUGUUUUUCGCAUAUUGAUAAUCGAUUAGUAAAUCAGGUAUGUGAUCCCCAAUCGAAGACAGAUAAUAUCUGCUCGUCUUAAUCUACGGUUCCCGAACGAUUCAGUGAAAGGAGAUUAAUUUUCUGCGAAUACAAUAAGAAUUAACGGGAAAUGACUAAUGCAAUUCCUCAAUAUAAUUAUCUCCGUAACAUGUCAUAACUUCAAAUUCAAUAGAUCUUACAUGAGUUAAACACUUUCUCGAAAUGCAAUUCAAGUAAAUAAAUAUCAUUAUGUAUGUAUUAACCUGUUUUUUGUCUAAACUUUCCACAAUUCACUUAAUCUCCCUUCAACUCACAAUAAAGAUUAAAAAACGAUAUCCACAUUUUAUGACUCACCAGUGUCAUUGUCAGGUGUCUGAAUGCCGUCGCGCACAUCCUCGGCGGCCGUGGAAAGUGCUGAAAGUAAAAAAACAAUAACAAUUAAUUACCCAUAAAAAAUAAGUAAGUGCUUCAUGAACUAUAAGAAUCUCAGGAAUUCCAUUCUUUCAUUUAAUUUCUCCACGGUCAUGUUGACCUUCCUCCGCACAAAGUCAUGAACUUUCUACGAUAUUCCAUGGUAAUCCAUGAAUUUCCAUGGAAUAUCAAUCCAAAGAUCACUCCAUCCUUCAAUCAACACCAGGAGAAUGAAACUUAAAAUAUUCCUGCAGCCAGUUUCCUCAUUUGGAAAAUGUGCCUGACAGAUUUAUCGACUAGUAAAUUUGCCACGUGUGCCACAACGGAAAUUUUCCUGACAUUCCAAUGAGUUCCUCUUCCUUCUCCAUCUUAUCACAGUAAAAGACAAUGAUAAAGACCCAAGAUAAAGCCACAUUGACGAAUGUGAAGAAGCAAAUUUUUACGCCCACGAGUUUAUGGAGAAUACCACUGGGGGAGGUGAUCUCUUACACUUGGGCCUGAUGAUGGUGCAGCUUGACCCUACGGUAGCGGGGGCAAUUGCCAUUAAUUUUUCCCCCGUAUCAAGUCAUAUACUAUGUCAAUUAACCUAUAGAUCUAAUAGAAUCGUGAAUUUAUCAACUGUCGCACAGUUGUGCGCGGGCACAACAAAUACAAAUAUAUGAAUUUUAUCUUCUGCAUAUUUUUGCAUAUUUUUCAAAUACCAAAUACUGCUCGAAUUUUUUUUAAAUGUCAACCACUCGUUGACAUUUGAAUUCUCAACGCUGUGUAUUUAAAUUCAAUUUAAGAUGAUCGCGUUCGUUGGAUUUUUUAUUCGAGGGAAGAUUAGAAUAAUUCGGAUUUUCAUUUUAUUCAGACAUUUUUUGAUACCUGGAAAAACAUCUAUAAAAGAUAUGUCAAAUUUAGACCUCCAUUUUCGUUGUUAAGCUGCUGAUAAUUGCAAAAAAAACAACGAUCGAUGAGAAGUAGUUAAUAAGACUGUACCUCAAGAAACAGAAAUAAAUUACCUCCUAAAAAUUCUAAAACAAUU